CUGAGGUUCACUGCUUCCCAGAGCUGUCCCAGCCAGAACUGCAGCAACUGACCACAAGGUGACCAUGGAUUUCAUCAAUGAAUUAGCAUGACAGACCCAACAAAAGCUACCUCAAGUACAGCUGGUCUGUUUCAGAAGUGGACUAAAGUACUCUUUUUCGUUUUAUGUCAUUGAAGAUAAUUAACUCCCUGGGACUUUUUUUCUUAAAUAGAGCAGAUGAAACGAGGACAUGAGACCCUAUUUCUUCCUGACAAUGGAAAAACUCCUUUUGACAGUCUUGGAGCUAAACACUGAUGCUGCCAAUGUCUAAACUUAGCUGAGAUGUAUACCUCUCUCAUUCUGCCUAAAUUUGAGGUCUCUCUAAGUGUGCUUAGAUCUAACACACAUGAGAAAUACAAACCUCUUCCCAAUAUGAAAUGCUGGACAUUCUCUUUCCAGAUAACACUAAUAGAACUCUACUCACUAGUAAGCAGAAUAAACUUCCUCCACAACACAAAUUUCAGGACUUGUGAAGUCUGUACCCUUUAGGAAGUUUCAGGCAUUCUACAGAGACUUCAGUGGAUGCUUAUCAGAGACCUCCCAUAAAUGCAGUAGAAAACUAGGACACUACAAUAGGCAGUCAAGUUUGUGAUUCAGGACAUUGUUUACACGGUCUGCAUUAUGCUGUCUGGCUUUAUAAAUGGAUCUGUGUGGUAAACUAUCAGAGAAUUCCUCAUUGAGAAUACUUACAGAAAAUAUUUCUAAGUGAAAUGUCAUACAUUUGAGUUUGUUGCUAGGGGCAAUUACUAAGGAAGAUAUCCACAGAGGAUCAAUGAGUAC
rnacentral:lncRNA from 1 species